CGGACGGGUGAGUAACGCGUGGAUAACCUGCCUCACACUGGGGGAUAACAGUUAGAAAUGGCUGCUAAUACCGCAUAAGCGCACAGUACCGCAUGGUACGGCGUGAAAAACCCAGGUGGUGUGAGAUGGAUCCGCGUCUGAUUAGCCAGUUGGCGGGGUAACGGCCCACCAAAGCGACGAUCAGUAGCCGACCUGAGAGGGUGACCGGCCACAUUGGGACUGAGACACGGCCCAA
rnacentral:rRNA from 1 species